UCAGAAACUAUACCUAUAUAUGUAUGUUACAUAUGUAUCUCAUAUGCAGCCAUACAUAUAUAUUUAUUCUUCUUAUGUAGGUGAGUGAACAGAAGGUGGGACAGCUAUGCUGCCGGCCGCCAAUGGGAGCACAACGUGGUGUAGGUGGCGGCAAUCAUAGUCCCCCAGACUGGCACACAGGCAGACGACAGACACACAAAAAAGGAAGAAAUGAUCAAGACGUUGGCACAAUGAGGAGGAAUAAUUUAUGGAAGCCUGUGCCACAAACGAUUUGGUGAGAAAAGAGAACUGAGUGCAAUCAUCACAACCCUGAUACUGUGCUUCAAAUCCUUAAAUUACACUUUCAUGUAAUUCUUAGCAAGCAUGGUAAGCAAAAUGGAAUCCUGUGGGAUCUCCUUGGCCAAUUUUCACAGAAAAUGAUUGCCAGGACCAUUUCUGAAGCCAGCUUGUGAGAUAGGAAAAGAAGCAAUGCAUGGCAAUUUAUUUCACUUUUAAUCUAGGAAAGUGAUUCAGAACUAUACCACUGUUACUGCUGUCAGUGGCUAUUGCUGGAGAAUCAACAGUGUCAGCGCUCCCUGAUCCUCUCUUGCUUCUAUCCGGGACUCAGACUGAAAUAAAUCCAGAAAAUCUGAUCCAAUCAAAAUAGCCAACCAGAUUUGCUACUUGGUCAGAUUUACUGAUAACUGCAACCUUGACACUUAUCUAUAAUUCUGCAGUAUCAUACAAGAAAGGUUCUUUCAAAGAAUAAUCUUAGAGCAAUAGCUCUCUUGAAAUCUUGACACAAUGAAAAUUUAAUAAUUUCAACCCAGGCA